rnacentral:lncRNA from 1 species
CGUGCGGGCGCGGGGAGCUGAACGGCCGGGGACCGCUGGGGGGCGCUGCUUGGGCGGGGCGGAUUGACUCUUGCGGGCCGCCGUACGCGCUAUAAAAGGCGCGGCGCUUCCCUUCUCGUCCUCUGCGUGCGCCGGAGGCUGCCGUGGCGGGUGGGCCGCCUGACUUCUCCUCCCGGCCAGUUCUCGAGCGCCUCACCGGGCCUCGCCCUGCAGCCUCGCUCUCGCUGGCGCUGCGCGGCCUAGGGGACUGGGCUGCUGGCCUCCGGGUGCGGGGUGGGGGCAGGCUCCGACCUGGGGCGUCCUGGCCGCGCGAGCCGCGGGAUGGGGGCCCGGGCCGCGGAGGAGGCGCCGCUGGUGUGUCCCUUGGUGGAGAGGGCGCUGCCGGCCCUGCGCGGUUUCCAGCCAGGAAGCUUCGGGAAGCCUGGUGAGAGCUGAGUGCGCGAAUUCGGAUCUUAGAGAAAGGCACCCCGUUCACCCACGACCCUUCCGCUCCUGCCGCUGCUUCCCUGAGUCGCUCAGGCUGUGGGAAGAUGUUUGUCGGCAUCUUUGAAAAAUUGAUUUCUUAUGCUGCGUCAGGUGGUUUCCUUGUCACUGUGGCUGCUCAGCGGGAGGCUGUUCUGGCGGGAGGAGGACUGCUCGGUUGUCUGGUGGGCAUUCCGCCUCGUGGUCCUGGUCCCUUGAUACCUGCAGGGGAUCAGCAGCCCGCGUUUCGUGGCCACUGUGUUGUAACUCCAACUUCCCCUCCCGCAAAUUAAGCGUAGAGUAAGGGGAGAGAGUAACAUGGGUCGGAUUUUUCUAGAACGGCCCUUGUGACAGUGAGCUUUUUGGUGGCAGGGAGCUUCUUUGGUCCGCCUUCCUGGAGACCAGAUGCAGCAAAACGCAGUCUUUUUCUUUUCGAGACAGAGUCUCAGUUGCCCAGGCUGGAGUGCAGUGGCGCGAUCUCAGCUCACUACCACCUCUGCCUCCUGGGUUCAAGCGACUUUCCUGCUUCAGCCUCCAGAGUAGCUGGGAUUACAGGCGCCAGCCACUAGGCCAGCUAACUUUUUUUUUUUUUUUUUUUAGAGAGACGGGUUUCACCGUGUUGGCCAGGCUGGUUUUGAACUCCUGACCUCAAGUGAUCUGCCCGCCUCGGCCUCCCAAAAAACGCAGUGUUUAUGUGAUGCUCCUCUGUGGUGUUUGCAAGAUUUAUACAAAAUUGCGGUUUCUUUUUUUCUCUAGGACGUCUGCUCACUGGAGAUGACACGUGCGUGGGGUGUUGGGUAAGUUGGUGCAUUGGAGCUGGAACAGGGUCAAUCCUCCAAUGUAACUAAGCCCUCCUGUGCAACAUCUUAAGUGACUGGAGGGACCAGUCGGUCUUGUGUUCACAUUGAGGCUAGAAGCUGUCUCCAGGGGAGUAAAAACGGAUUAUUUAGUCUUCAACAGGACACUGCCCCUAGAGGCGUUGCAGCUGUGGCUGCCGUGUCACAUCUGUGUCAUUAGGUGGCAGAGAUUAGAGAGGCUAUGUCUACGCUCAGCGUUCUGCCCCGUGAACGUUUGAAUGUUUGAUAGUCUCACACUCCUGUUUUGUGGACAGGCAUCUGUUUUCCUUCGCUGGUAUCUGGGAGAGAGGGUGGGCCCUGUGAGUGGGCUUUCUAACUCUCGCGCUGGGCUAGGCUGGCCUCUAGGGGUCUGAAGGGAUAGUGGGAAGGUGGAGGGUGCCUUCACCAGGAGCAGCCUUCAUGAGUGAGUUUUAAGAACCUGUGAGGAUCGGUCAGGUCAGGUGAGGUACGCGCUGGAUCAUGCCGUACACCGUGUCAGGAUCACGCAGGACAGGACUGGGGAAGGGUUUGCUGGCGUCUCGGUUAAUAGCAGUAACGGCAGCCGCUUGUGUUCUUGAUUCUUUGCCAAGCAUUCUUGUUAUUUAACACGGGAAGGAGGUGACUUCGCCUGUGAUGGACUUCCAGUGUGAGCACUGGCCAGAGUGACCAGGCUGACCAGCACCAGCCCUGAUCCAGAUGCAGAGGCCAGGAUGUGGGCCCAGCCCUGUGCCAGGAGGCUGGCUGGAAUAAAGGUACAGAUAGAGGCCUCACCCCCUCUGGGACCACUGGCACUCAGGGUGUUUGCAGCCUCAGAGCCCACCUGCCCCCAGGGCCACAGCUGCAUCUCCUGCCCUGCUGUCAUUACAGGGAUGGGCAGGCUGGCAUGGGGGCAGCCGCUGCCCCUGCCUGGGUGUUGCUGUGUAUUCCUGCCGGCCAGGGGCCACUGCCAGGACCACGCCUCCCUUUUCAUAUCCCGAUUCUUAAGUUCUGCUAUUGUGGUAUUCUGGUGGAGAAAAAAGAACCGCGUGGCUGUUUUUGAACUGCCUGGAACCUAAGACCCUGAAUUCUUUUCCCCCCCAAGGGGAAA